UACGGAAGGCAGCAGGGGGAAUAUUGCACAAUGGGCGCAAGCCUGAUGCAGCCAUGCCGCGUGUAUGAAGAAGGCCUUCGGGUUGUAAAGUACUUUCAGCGAGGAGGAAGGUGUUGAGGUUAAUAACCUCAGCAAUUGACGUUACUCGCAGAAGAAGCACCGGCUAACUCCGUGCCAGCAGCCGCGGUAAUACGGAGGGUGCAAGCGUUAAUCGGAAUUACUGGGCGUAAAGCGCACGCAGGCGGUCUGUCAAGUCGGAUGUGAAAUCCCCGGGCUCAACCUGGGAACUGCAUUCGAAACUGGCAGGCUAGAGUCUUGUAGAGGGGGUAGAAUUCCAGGUGUAGCGGUGAAAUGCGUAGAGAUCUGGAGGAAUACCGGUGGCGAAGGCGGGCCCCUGGACAAAGCUGACGCUCAGGUGCGAAAGCGUGGGGAGCAAACGAGGAUUAGGAUAACC
rnacentral:rRNA from 1 species